AUAUGAAGUUGAAGAUAUCCACGUUGCUCCAUUCUUAAACAAUUUGAACUGUUCGAAGAGUUGCUAUUUCACGUUUAUACAGUUUACGAGCUCGAUAUCCCGCGCUAUGUCUACAAAUGAUUUUCCAAUAUCGCGCGCGAUUCUACGGCCAAGUGCAUACUUGCACAGUCGAUCAGAAAAAUAUUACAGGGAAAGAACGACUUUUAAGUGAUAAACGGCAUGGGCGAGCGCAUAAUCAGACCAAAGUAGAACGAGAACGAUUUUGGUCGGACAUCAUCGCGUACCGCCAUCUGAAGCAUGAUCGAAGAACUAUAAAGACCGCUUGUCGGAGCGGGAGUUUUCUUUUUUCUAUUCUAUCGAUUUUAUACGAUAAAACGUUGCAACUUUUUCGCCUGUACUUGAUUUUCACGGUACAGUAAAUUCUACAAAAUACGAUGUAUAGGAAAAAUAAACAAAUCGUUAUACGUUAUCUUUGCUCGCAAGGAAUAUACGCGGCAGAUAAUAUUAUUGUACGAAGCUCUGCGUUUUGGUUUCGUAACUCUUUUUUAUCGUAGAAUUGCUAUCACGUUGCGGCACACGUUUCAUUUCUCAGUUUAUUGCAAGAUGUUUGCGUGAUCGUUAGCGUUUACAAAGCAAAUAUCGAUGAUUUCAUCUGGAGUUUUGCGUGGGCCGUUGUUUUGCACCGCUGCUUCCGCUUAUUUCAAUAAUUUCUUAGCUACGGAACAUCAAUAUUUUGCUGACGUCUGUAAGAAAAAAAAGUGUAUUCAGUCGUAAGAAAUAUCGAUUCAAGUAGAAACUAUACUACAGAUUACACGAUAAAACACAAGGCGGAAUAAUGUUGGAAUACUAAACGUCGCUGGUAAACAUUGGAUAAAUUUUUGAAAAAAACAUGCUGUUAUGGCGAAGCUGAAAGUACCUCGGAUAAUACGAAGCUUCGGUUAAACUGGUCUCGCAUAAGCAAGGCGCCAGUGUGCCUCAUAUUGCGAGAAGGAGAAUUUCGUAUGACUUUUUUAUUAAUACUAAAUAUUGGCAACUAAGUGAUUGCAAAAUCAGAAAUCCGCAAUCACUUUGUUGCCACGACAAUAAGAAUGAGUUUCGAGUGACGGAGAUGCGUGAAACGACUGCGAUAGAAAGUACGACUGAUCGUGUUUUUUGCCUCUAGUCCUCGUACAUUAUCUGUACGUAAUGAUUUACGAAAGAAUUCGAACAGUGUAGCCUUUAUUAUUACAUUCUAUUGAGAUAUGUGUAAUUUUGUGUGCUACGUUAGAUCAGCCGCGUAGUAGUGACACACGUAUAUGAGUAUGGGUGCGUUGGAGUAUGUGCGUGAACAGCAUCUCGUAAAAUAAAAGAAUGCAACUGUUCCGUCGAUAAGGAAGGUGGCGAGACAAAGAGAGUGCUGAGACGCGUGCAAAUUGUAUCGACGAAUAUCUUGUCAAUCGCAUAUCAAAUAAAUCUGAAACUAUUUUUAUAUCAA